CAGGCGCAGCUCAGUUCGCUGAAAAGACCGUUGCCGGGUAUAAGCAUUAACCCUUUGGUUUCUGUCGUUGCGGAACGUCGUUGAGAUGUUUCUCUGAAGUUUUACAACUAUCUUUGAUCGCCGAUGCAACUUAAUGUAGUCGAGCCUCAGGAGAGUAUAGUAGCUUCGAUCCUAUGAAGCAUGAGUGGAAGGAUGCUCAUGAUGUGACUCUUCUCCUUUCACCCAGGAGCCCUCAGGCAAGCAGAAGGCACAACAAGACCGGAUUCACAAAAAAGGAAAGCGACCAACAUUAGCCAGUAUUGUUUGGAUGAACAAUCUCAGGACAUGAAUCCUCAUCAGUUUCAAGAAUGAAGAUGUUCUAGCUCUGAAAUGCAUUCCUAAAACCAACUAGGACAUUCUAGUAGUGGUCAAUAACCAACACCUGAUGCAGCAUUGAGGCACUGAAGCACACUUUUGUUUUGGUAACUCAUAAAACAAUCCACACUGCAUCAUGUCAUAUUUCCAUGACAAAGUUUCCUAAACCUUCUGUUUACAAGUGUCCAUGAUGAACAAAGGAAGGGGCAUUACAAGCAUUAACUAUAGCAGCAUAUUUGACAGAGAUCUAUCCUGUGCUUGUGAAACCAUCAAGUAGAAAACUUUCCAUAUAUUUCAAUUUCUUAUGGAGUGAACACCCUUCGUACUGCCUAGCAACCACAACGGCAACAUUCAGGAAAUAUAUCUGGUAAAUGAAGCACUAAAAAAAGUUUCUGCAGCAUGAAGUCUGCUCCAGGUCUGAAACUGAAGAAUAUACUGUAUGCAGUAAUUAGUAUUCAUAUUUCUUUGCUGGGGUAGUUUUAUUUUUGAAAAGUUACAGGGAAGUUUGAUAUUUCAAUACAUAUACAAUUUCCUAAGAUGUGCAGAAACUAACAGAUUUCCUAUUAGAUGUAGCCUAUUCAAAUGUUGAGGAGCUCUGGUUUCCACAGUCUAAUUCUUGGAUGCUGUAAAUUGCUUUGUUUCCAUCAGUACCACUGCUCAUAAUAGUGAGCAGGAACAAAUAUUCUGAGAUUUCUCACAAUAGCAAGGACAUCCAUUAGACCAAAAAAAAAAUGCCAAGUAUAUAAAGGUAAUAAAUUAGAGCAAGUGGCCUGUUUGUUUCUUGUCCUCAGUUAUCAGACUGUUGAUACAGCUAGUUUUAAAGAUGAAGUAUAAUAAAACCAUAUUUUAAUUGGUUUCAUUUUUAUACAAUAUCACCUUCUUAAUCUUCUCUAGAGUCUAGAAUUCAUUAAUCCUUUCAAUGAUAACACAUCUUAAAUUGAAGCAACAUCCUCACAAGUGCUGGGAAUCCGGCUGCCUUCAAAGAAUUUUGUACAGUUUUGUCAGUGACUGAUAUUGUCUAAUUUUUCUUAAACAGUUUUACAUCUGCACAAACAAAUUUCUGUGGUGACUUUUAUGCAGAAUUAGAUUGAUAAAGCAUAUAAUACCUUUUUAUACAUUUAUGCAACGUUCUUGCUUCUUAAAGAUGGUAUCCACUGUAUAUUCACAGCUUCACACAUUACAUUUGCGAAACAUUGUAAAACACUGAUACUCUUAAUGCACUGAGAACCACUAGGUUGGACCCAGUGUAAAUAUCACAGAUCUUUCCUGCUCUUCCACUUGCAGUAGCCAUUUUAUACCCUGGGAAAGUUUAUCUUGUGGUCACAGGAUCCAUGUGGAGUAAGCCAUACAGAUUGGAGGACGACAGUGAAGGAGGGAAGUAACCUUCUUCUUCCUCUUUUGAUGGAAGAUUUUCUCCUCCUCCCCACUGCAGCCUCCUGAUCCAUGUGGCUGGCGGUCUAUGUAGGUGCUGAAAGUCCAGCAAUGAGCAACAGGGCUGGAAAUGGCUGGUGUGGGGGGAGUGGGAAAGAUCUGCAAUUGUCAGCAGCUUGCACAAAGAUUUCUGAAUCCAACUCAAUAUAACUUGUCAGCCCACAUGCAUCUUACCCCAUCCCACCAUUGUGUGUUAUCCUCAGAGAUUAAAGGUACUACACAAAUGCAAAAUUGCGUCCUCAGUCACACAUACUUCAGAAAUGUGGGCUACCCUACCCAUGAAUAAUCCACCUUUAAAUGUACACACGGAAAUUUCCAAUGAGGACAACACAGAACAUGCAAUUUCAUUCUGUAGACCUCAAACAAGAAAUAGUAAGGAACAUCACAUUCCAUAUAAGCAACUUAGUGUGAACCACUGAGUAUGUUGGGGCAUUUCAACUACCCCUCUAAAAAAAUACAGGGGUAUCAAAUGAGCAACUGCUUCCACGUUCCAACAGGGCAAUGCUGAGAUGUGCUGAAAUGAAUGCAAUGCCUUCUCUAAUUCUGCCUACAUUGCACAUAUCACAUUCUAACAUACAUGAGUACUCAGAGUUGUUAUACUUGUUAAAAUUAUAGAUUUAAAAGUACAAACUGAAUGGGCAGUGUCUACAGAACAUGCAUUCAUACAGAAAAGUGAGCAGUUACCCAAAGGAAUUUAGACAUUUUAUAUUUGAAUAGCUAAUCCCACACUAUAUCACAAAUCACUUCUAAAAUUCUCAAGUUUCAAAAGCAGCCUGCAGUUUGGUCUGGAGGGUCAUGGCAUAAUCAUUGCAAUCCUUUGGAUCUUGGCUUGUGCCAAUUAAAAGCUACCAUGGCUACUGUUACAAGCAAAAAAUCUAUCCUUCCUGUUCUUAAUUACAUAGAUUAGUAUUAUAGUAAUUGAUUAAUGCAAAUGACGUAUCUACUUCAGUUUAAAAUUGAAGACACUGCCUGCCACUCUGAUAAGAGAACAUAGGCUGGGCAUCAGACUUCUGAUUAAGUAUCUUUUGUGAACCUAUCCUGUAUUAACAUCCAUUAGACAUUCCCCCAAAUCUUUAAAAUUAUUUGUUCUACUGCAUGUUGUUUGACCUUACAUACUCAAGUUUAAUGCAUUUGAAGUGUCUAAGCAGGUCAGUUUUAAUAUCUAUUAACACUUUAUCAAAUGACCAGAAAAUGUCUCCUGUUAACCAUUUUUUCAUAUUAGAUCUUAUUAUUUCAUGAUAUAGAUUUUAAUAUCUUCAAGAAUGUAUUUCAAAAUAGUUUAUAAUAAAGUCCAACAGCAUUCUUGUUGCUUCUUUUAAAUAGCCAAGUGAAAGAUUUGUGAAGAGGUUUUUCUCAAUUUGAUAUCCUAAAAUUAAGGAUCAAACAAUUUUUUGCAAGGCAUCUUGGAAAAAAGAGGCAUUAUAAGGAAUAAAAACAAACCAGUGAGAAAUCUGA